rnacentral:lncRNA from 1 species
AGAAAGGGAAAAUGUGACUCAUAGCAUAUCUCCAAAUGACACAGAUUCCAUAGACAAUGACAUCAAAACAGUGUGACCACAUUUCAAAACACAGAGGAUAGAUGGCUUAAACAGGCAUGUAGAAACACAGGAGAUUUCAGAGACUAAAACUAAACUUGGAGUGGAUGUGAUGGACACAAAACAGAUGUUGAGGAGAUUAACAUUGCUGGCCUGGAAGUUGUAAUGAAAGAGCCCAUCCAAAAUGGCACAGUUUCUUAUGUAUAUGGAAACCACUUGGAACCUUGGAAAUUCUGGGGCCUUGGAAAUGUGAGGAACUCUAUCACCCACAUAGAGUUCCACCAGGUCUCUCAGGCCACAGUUGCCUCAAGAGGUGCCCUGGAUCAGUCUCCCAUGAGCACGGUAGAACGCAGCGGCUUUGGUUCCCAACCGCCUAGUAAAGUCCCAGCGCAAAAGG